AUACAUGCAAGUCGAGCGAACGGACGAGAAGCUUGCUUCUCUGAUGUUAGCGGCGGACGGGUGAGUAACACGUGGAUAACCUACCUAUAAGACUGGGAUAACUUCGGGAAACCGGAGCUAUACCGGAUAAUAUUUUGAACCGCAUGGUUCAAAAGUGAAAGACGGUCUUGCUGUCACUUAUAGAUGGAUCCGCGCUGCAUUAGCUAGUUGGUAAGGUAACGGCUUACCAAGGCAACGAUGCAUAGCCGACCUGAGAGGGUGAUCGGCCACACUGGAACUGAGACACGGUCCAGACUCCUACGGGAGGCAGCAGUAGGGAAUCUUCCGCAAUGGGCGAAAGCCUGACGGAGCAACGCCGCGUGAGUGAUGAAGGUCUUCGGAUCGUAAAACUCUGUUAUUAGGGAAGAACAUAUGUGUAAGUAACUGUGCACAUCUUGACGGUACCUAAUCAGAAAGCCACGGCUAACUACGUGCCAGCAGCCGCGGUAAUACGUAGGUGGCAAGCGUUAUCCGGAAUUAUUGGGCGUAAAGCGCGCGUAGGCGGUUUUUUAAGUCUGAUGUGAAAGCCCACGGCUCAACCGUGGAGGGUCAUUGGAAACUGGAAAACUUGAGUGCAGAAGAGGAAAGUGGAAUUCCAUGUGUAGCGGUGAAAUGCGCAGAGAUAUGGAGGAACACCAGUGGCGAAGGCGACUUUCUGGUCUGUAACUGACGCUGAUGUGCGAAAGCGUGGGGAUCAAACAGGAUUAGAUACCCUGGUAGUCCACGCCGUAAACGAUGAGUGCUAAGUGUUAGGGGGUUUCCGCCCCUUAGUGCUGCAGCUAACGCAUUAAGCACUCCGCCUGGGGAGUACGACCGCAAGGGUUGAAACUCAAAGGAAUUGACGGGGACCCGCACAAGCGGUGGAGCAUGUGGGUUUAAUUUCGAAGCACGCGAGAACCUUACCAAUCUUGACAUCCUUUGACACUCUAGAGAUAGAGCCUUCCUCUUCGGGGGACAAAGUGACAGUUGUUG
rnacentral:rRNA from 1 species